UACGUAGGGUGCGAGCGUUAAUCGGAAUUACUGGGCGUAAAGCGUGCGUAGGCGGUCCGCGAAGUUUGAUGUGAAAGCCCCGGGCUCAACCUGGGAACUGCAUUGGAAACUAACGGGCUCGAGUGUGGCAGAGGGGGGUGGAAUUCCACGUGUAGCAGUGAAAUGCGUAGAGAUGUGGAGGAACACCGAUGGCGAAGGCAGCCCCCUGGGCUAACACUGACGCUCAGGCACGAAAGCGUGGGGAGCAAACAGG
rnacentral:rRNA from 1 species